UUUGGUCAAAUUUUUGAACAUCCGAUAUUGCCCUUGAUAUUUCCCACGAUUUACAGAGUAACCGAAAGGGGACUGACGGUUCUGGCUUUUGCCGCACAGAGAAAACUACUUCUGUCUUUUAAUUCGAGGCAGAGGAAAGGGUUUAGAGCGGUAGGGUUGAAUAAUUCUGGGUCUUCGGUAUUGGAGAUUGAUGAUUAGGGUUCUUCUUGAUGGGAGAGAUUAUUAGGUGAAAGAGUGAUUGAGGAGCAAGAAAAUGCGAAAACCUUUCAAGGAUUCGCUUAAGGCGCUUGAAGCUGAUAUUCAGUUUGCCAAUACUUCGUAACUCUUUUAAUCUUUUCUUUUGCUCAAUCUUCAUCCAUAGUUCAUUUCUGUCUGUUGAUUACAUGGAAUUAUUCCGGGUCAUACCAAAGUUCGCUUAUUUGUCAUGAUUUUGAUGGAAAUUGGUAAUCUUGGGAAUUUGAUCUGUCUAGUUUUGCUUUCGUAAUUUUAGUUUGCUGUAUCUUUCAUGCAAGAUUAGCUUUAUAGUUUGUACAGGUUGAACAUCUGGGUAAUUGUGUAGAUGAUUCUGCUCUAAACCCACAAUUCACAAUUGCUUAUGAAUUGUAUGCUGAAUUCUAUAAAGGAGUGAAAAGUUGAUUUGUGCUGAUAGAAGAGAGUAUUAGAAGGGUUUUGAGGAAUUGAGCUUACUUCAGCCACAGACAAACAUGAUAAGAUUUUGUAUUAGAAUUCAUAUCAUAUUACAAUCUCACUAAAAGUAUCCUAUUUCAAUUACAAUAUGAAACAGAAAUCUAUUCAGAAGCCAAAAUCAGAACAGUCAUCUGCAGUCCGAUGUGUGGCCGUCCAUUUGUUGUAUAUAUGUUGAUUCAUGACUUGGUAAUUACUCAAGAAGUGUGAUAACUGGGGUAAGGUGAACAUAUAUAUAAAAUCAGAAAGCUAGCUUACUAAUUAUGUUUUUGUUUUUCAUGUUUGUUAGAUUUGAAAAGUUUAGACUUCAACGAUGCUCCAUUUUACCAGGUACCAGCUCUGGAGCACAAUGUAAAGAUACAAAAAUGUACUAGCAGUGGCUCUUUAUGUGCGAAACUGGAAUGUGCUAACAGCAGCCAUUCAAUUGCUGAUUAAGGCUGAUUUAUGCGGGCAAGCAGCUUGGAGAUGACAAAACUGCUAAAGACUACAACAUUGAGGGUGGCUCUGUCCUUCAUUUAGUGCUUACACUACGUGGUGGUAGUCUAUAAAUUGUAUCGUAGUAUUGUAUCUAUUGAUGCUCAGGCAAACUCUUUUGUGAAGGCUUUAUCGAGUCUUCAUACUCCAAAACAUUUGAGUUGCAUGACAAGUGGGUUACUUUGGACAUAAGUAUUGGUGUUACAUAUUGCACUUUACCUUUCUGCUCUAUUAUGUUCGCUGUAAUGCUCUGGUGCUUUUACUUUAUACAAGCUUAGCUUCACUUGGGCAACAAAUUUUUAUCAAUCCUGAUUACAAUUGUUUUCUG